UGUGAGCUCGAUGAGUAGGGCGGGACACGUGGUAUCCUGUCUGAAUAUGGGGGGACCAUCCUCCAAGGCUAAAUACUCCUGACUGACCGAUAGUGAACCAGUACCGUGAGGGAAAGGCGAAAAGAACCCCGGCGAGGGGAGUGAAAAAGAACCUGAAACCGUGUACGUACAAGCAGUGGGAGCCUCUUUUAUGGGGUGACUGCGUACCUUUUGUAUAAUGGGUCAGCGACUUAUAUUCUGUAGCAAGGUUAACCGAAUAGGGGAGCCGAAGGGAAACCGAGUCUUAACUGGGCGUUAAGUUGCAGGGUAUAGACCCGAAACCCGGUGAUCUAGCCAUGGGCAGGUUGAAGGUUGGGUAACACUAACUGGAGGACCGAACCGACUAAUGUUGAAAAAUUAGCGGAUGACUUGUGGCUGGGGGUGAAAGGCCAAUCAAACCGGGAGAUAGCUGGUUCUCCCCGAAAGCUAUUUAGGUAGCGCCUCGUGAAUUCAUCUCCGGGGGUAGAGCACUGUUUCGGCAAGGGGGUCAUCCCGACUUACCAACCCGAUGCAAACUGCGAAUACCGGAGAAUGUUAUCACGGGAGACACACGGCGGGUGCUAACGUCCGUCGUGAAGAGGGAAACAACCCAGACCGCCAGCUAAGGUCCCAAAGUCAUGGUUAAGUGGGAAACGAUGUGGGAAGGCCCAGACAGCCAGGAUGUUGGCUUAGAAGCAGCCAUCAUUUAAAGAAAGCGUAAUAGCUCACUGGUCGAGUCGGCCUGCGCGGAAGAUGUAACGGGGCUAAACCAUGCACCGAAGCUGCGGCAGCGACACUAUGUGUUGUUGGGUAGGGGAGCGUUCUGUAAGCCUGUGAAGGUGUACUGUGAGGUAUGCUGGAGGUAUCAGAAGUGCGAAUGCUGACAUAAGUAACGAUAAAGCGGGUGAAAAGCCCGCUCGCCGGAAGACCAAGGGUUCCUGUCCAACGUUAAUCGGGGCAGGGUGAGUCGACCCCUAAGGCGAGGCCGAAAGGCGUAGUCGAUGGGAAACAGGUUAAUAUUCCUGUACUUGGUGUUACUGCGAAGGGGGGACGGAGAAGGCUAUGUUGGCCGGGCGACGGUUGUCCCGGUUUAAGCGUGUAGGCUGGUUUUCCAGGCAAAUCCGGAAAAUCAAGGCUGAGGCGUGAUGACGAGGCACUACGGUGCUGAAGCAACAAAUGCCCUGCUUCCAGGAAAAGCCUCUAAGCAUCAGGUAACAUUAAAUCGUACCCCAAACCGACACAGGUGGUCAGGUAGAGAAUACCAAGGCGCUUGAGAGAACUCGGGUGAAGGAACUAGGCAAAAUGGUGCCGUAACUUCGGGAGAAGGCACGCUGAUAUGUAGGUGAAGUCCCUCGCGGAUGGAGCUGAAAUCAGUCGAAGAUACCAGCUGGCUGCAACUGUUUAUUAAAAACACAGCACUGUGCAAACACGAAAGUGGACGUAUACGGUGUGACGCCUGCCCGGUGCCGGAAGGUUAAUUGAUGGGGUCAGCGCAAGCGAAGCUCUUGAUCGAAGCCCCGGUAAACGGCGGCCGUAACUAUAACGGUCCUAAGGUAGCGAAAUUCCUUGUCGGGUAAGUUCCGACCUGCACGAAUGGCGUAAUGAUGGCCAGGCUGUCUCCACCCGAGACUCAGUGAAAUUGAACUCGCUGUGAAGAUGCAGUGUACCCGCGGCAAGACGGAAAGACCCCGUGAACCUUUACUAUAGCUUGACACUGAACAUUGAGCCUUGAUGUGUAGGAUAGGUGGGAGGCUUGGAAGUGUGGACGCCAGUCUGCAUGGAGCCGACCUUGAAAUACCACCCUUUAAUGUUUGAUGUUCUAACGUGGACCCGUGAUCCGGGUUGCGGACAGUGUCUGGUGGGUAGUUUGACUGGGGCGGUCUCCUCCUAAAGAGUAACGGAGGAGCACGAAGGUUGGCUAAUCCUGGUCGGACAUCAGGAGGUUAGUGCAAUGGCAUAAGCCAGCUUGACUGCGAGCGUGACGGCGCGAGCAGGUGCGAAAGCAGGUCAUAGUGAUCCGGUGGUUCUGAAUGGAAGGGCCAUCGCUCAACGGAUAAAAGGUACUCCGGGGAUAACAGGCUGAUACCGCCCAAGAGUUCAUAUCGACGGCGGUGUUUGGCACCUCGAUGUCGGCUCAUCACAUCCUGGGGCUGAAGUAGGUCCCAAGGGUAUGGCUGUUCGCCAUUUAAAGUGGUACGCGAGCUGGGUUUAGAACGUCGUGAGACAGUUCGGUCCCUAUCUGCCGUGGGCGCUGGAGAACUGAGGGGGGCUGCUCCUAGUACGAGAGGACCGGAGUGGACGCAUCACUGGUGUUCGGGUUGUCAUGCCAAUGGCACUGCCCGGUAGCUAAAUGCGGAAGAGAUAAGUGCUGAAAGCAUCUAAGCACGAAACUUGCCCCGAGAUGAGUUCUCCCUGACCCUUUAAGGGUCCUGAAGGAACGUUGAAGACGACGACGUUGAUAGGCCGGGUGUGUAAGCGCAGCGAUGCGUUGAGCUAACCGGUACUAAUGAACCGUGAGGCUUAACCUU
rnacentral:rRNA from 1 species